rnacentral:rRNA from 1 species
UGGGGAAUUUUGGACAAUGGGGGAAACCCUGAUCAAGCCAUCCCGCGUGUGCGAUGAAGGCCUUCGGGUUGUAAAGCACUUUUGGCAGGAAAGAAACGUCAUGGGUUAAUACCCCGUGAAACUGACGGUACCUGCAGAAUAAGCACCGGCUAACUACGUGCCAGCAGCCGCGGUAAUACGUAGGGUGCAAGCGUUAAUCGGAAUUACUGGGCGUAAAGCGUGCGCAGGCGGUUCGGAAAGAAAGAUGUGAAAUCCCAGAGCUCAACUUUGGAACUGCAUUUUUAGCUACCGGGCUAGGGUGUGUCAGAGGGAGGUGGAAUUCCGCGUGUAGCAGUGAAAUGCGUAGAUAUGCGGAGGAACACCGAUGGCGAAGGCAGCCUCCUGGGAUAACACUGACGCUCAUGCACGAAAGCGUGGGGAGCAAACAGG